rnacentral:lncRNA from 1 species
AUCGAGAACACGCAACCACUCUAUUAGUAAAGAGUUACUGUAGGAUAAAGAUAGGGUUGGGCCCAAUAACUGUUAGGUGAGGGACUCAAUGACAGCUUUACACCUGCUUAUGAAUGGUGGGUCUGGCUUAACUAAGAAGUGCGGGCAAUAACUGUUAGGUGAGCCCACAUGACUUAGAGAUUAAGUGGCUGCAACAUACUUAGAAGAGCAUCUGGGCAAAGAGUUAUCCACACAUUAGUAUUCAUUCAUAUUAUUAAUAACUGUU